AAACUAAAUUUGAUUGUGCAAUUGUUAUUCAGAACUUAAGAAAAACACAAUCAGUGUCAUAGCCUUUGGAAGAUGAAAAUAAUACUUAUAUUUUGCUACAUUUCCUCUAGUUUUGGGGGAAAGAUACACAUUUUUGAGGUCAUCUUUAUUUUCUCUGUUGUUAAGGUCAGAGCCAUGCAAAUUCUCAAAUUUAGUUCUUUAAACUUAAAAGUGUAAGUGUUGAGAUACUGCAGGAACAGGAGAAAAAGAUGAAUAGGACAUUGGUUUGUUGGAAAUUCUGUGGUAUAAAUUUACAAAUUGUAGAAUGACUUGUUGAAAUAGGGGUGCCAGUGCUUAGGAGAUGAGGCAAUGUUCCUUGGGAAACUAUUUCAUAGAGACUGGUAUGUCAUGGGGGUACAAAUUGAAGUCCAAAAAGAAAUGGCCAAUGAGAGGAGUAUCACUAAAUGGAAAAAAUCAACUUUAACGCAGAAUUGAUGACAGGUAACACCAAGAGAAAUACUGUAAAUAGCAGGGAAAGGACCAAUGAGGAACUUGGAGUUGAAGGUACAAUCCCUAACUACUAUAGAUUCAAGUGUCAUAAUGUUCUAAUGAAAUAUUUUUCAGAUUGUACUUUAUGACCAUAUGGUAUAGAUUAUAAACUACUUCAUAUGAAUAUGUGUUCCAUAAUCAAUUCACUUUUCUCCAGUUGUCUGUAUUCAUUCUAACACUUUUCUAAAGACAGUACCUUGUGUCUUACAAGUACCAUUCAUUAGUAAUUUUGAGCUAGUAGCUAAAAUGUUGGCCAGAAUGAUAAGCAGAGUGAAUUGUGACAUAAAGUUUUGCCUGAUUGUGCCAUAGCAGUGGCUAAAGUACAUUUAAAAACUUGGAUGGUUUAUAGCAAGAAAUGUGUGUUAUGCUAAAGUUUGCCUUCGUAUUUUCUGGUAUCUUGAGGAGAACUAAACCUGUAUAAGAUAUUCACAGCUGAGGCCCUGGAACAGAGAAUACUGAAGGAAAAAGCAGUCAUAGUUAAUUAAGUAAGGCUGCAUCUGUCAUGGAGGACUGCUGGACACAGCUGCUCAGCCUCUAAUUUUGAUGGAUGCAACUUGGGGAUGUUUGAAUAUGGUAAAUCUCUUUAAUGAUGGUAAAGUGUUUAUAAUAUUACUAAACCAACAUGUGAAUGAGUGAAUGAAUUAAUAGGGUCAAAAGUAAAAUACUACAGAAAGUUGUGAUAAACAUAGAAGAAUGACAGGAUAUAAAAACUCAGCACUUGGCAAUAAUCAUAAUUGUUUCAGCCAGGAAAAUCAAAAGAUUCUAAAACUCAUUGGAGAAAAUUUGAGGGGAAAUGAUACAUUUUAAAAUGUUUUUAAAAAUAUUUAUUUUAUUGAUGUAUAGUUGAUUUACAACUAUAAGACUUUUAAGUCUGAAGUUUGAUCAAAAUGAAUAUAAAAGAAUAUGUAGGGCAGAAUGUCUUGAAGCACAUGGUUUCAGGUGUACAUGCUCAGGAAAUAUGAAAGUGUGGAAUAAGAGCAUGAAUACUUUGAUACCAAUGGGUUUUGUCUGUAUCUGCAUUUGAACCAUUUAUAAUAGAACGUGUUUUUACUCACAGUUCCUUCACUUAGCAUGAUUUUUCAAAGUUCAGCCAUGUUAUAGCAUGGAUUGGGACUCCAUUUCUUUUUAUGGGUGAGUAAUACCCCGUUUAUAGAUCAUAUUUUGCUUGCGUAUUCAUUCAUCAAUUUAUGGCAUUCUACUAACUUAUUUCUGUUCUUUGGCUGUUUUGAAUAAUCUUGCUAUAAAUACUUAUGUGGAGAUUUUUGUGUAUAUGUAUUUUUUAGUUCUUUUAGGGAUAAGAACACAAGAAGUUGUCUGACCAGGAUUUUAAGAUCAUACUUGCUUCGUUUGAAGGUGUACAGGUCUGCACAGUGAGCAUUUGGUUGAAUAUUGGUGGAAACUCUUACUGUAGAAAUAAGUAAAUUGAAAAACCAAAAUAAACACAGUUGAAGCCCAUUGCCUCAUACCUGGUUCAUUCAAUUUGAAUGUAUUUAGUUUUUAUUAUUGUGCAUUUUUGUUAUUGUGUUCUUGUUUUAAAUAUGGAAUCAAUGUUGGUUUGCAUACAAAGCAUUUCAUUGUCUUACAACACUAAUUAUGAUGGAGAAAGGGCAUCUUGCAUAAGUGAAUUAAAUAUUCAAGGAUAGUAGGAUCAUUCAAAUCGGUAGAAUUCUGCCACAGAAAUAAAUUGAUUUUACUCAUAAUGUUCAUGAAGAACUAAAAUGAAAAACCUCUUCUCAUUGGUUUAAUAGCUGGUGUAGCCUCCCAUACUCAUUUUCAUCUCUACUUUCCACAUGUAAAUUAAGUGGCUUAGUAUGUUUCUAGGAUUAUGGACGCCUGUAUUAUUUCUUGGGUGUUUUCAGGAUCUGUCCUUUCUCACAGGCGAACAGCAAAAGGUGUCUUUAAAUGAAUGAGUCUGGAUCAUGUAUUUAUACAUUGUGAAAAAUCUGAAGAAAAUGAGAAACAAAAUGACUGUUGUUGAACCAUACUAUAUUUCUAUUCUAAGCAAGUCAAAGGCUAGAACAAGUUAUCAUACUUCAGGGAGGAAAGAAGGACUGAAAUGAGGGCCUCUACUUCAGAGAAUAGGGCUUCUUAAGGUGAAGUUCCAGGCAUGACUGUCCAUCACCUAGGAGACGAAGCCCCGCCCAUAAGGUGGUGACUCGAGGUGCAAGGGAGUCGGUGAGAAGUGUGGCAGGCCCAGGUUGCUGCCAAUUCUUUUUGGAUCAUCGAGCAUGGUACGCCUUCCCCUACCCAAAGACGUGUCAUGGAUUUCGGCUUUCCUGGGACUGCAUGAGUGGUGUUUUCAGGAACAGUUGUCGGGUAUGACUGUCCAUCACCCAGGAAAAGAGGCCAUGUGUGGUGACAUUGCCAGGUAUGACUGCCCGUCACCCAGGAUACGAAGCCCUGCCCGUGAGGUGGUGACUCAAGAUGCAGGGAGUCCACCAAGAAGUGUGGAGGGCCCAGGUUGCUACCUCUACUUUUUGGAUCACUGAGCAUGGAAUGCCUUCAACUAACCCAAGAUGUGUCAUGGAUUUACAGUUUCCUGGGACUGCCUGAGUAGCUGUGAAGUUCCCAAGUGUGAGUGUCCGUCACUCAGAAAAUGGAGCCCCGCUCGUGAGAUGGUGACUCGAGGUGCUCGGGAGUCCGGCGAGAAGUGUGGCGGGCCCAGCUUGCUGCCACUGCUUUUUGGAUCACCGAGCUCGGUGAAGUUCCCAAGUGUGAGUGUCCGUCACUCAGAAAAUGGAGCCCCGCUCGUGAGAUGGUGACUCGAGGUGCUCGGGAGUCCGGCGAGAAGUGUGGCGGGCCCAGGUUGCUGCCACUGCUUUUUGGAUCACCGAGCUCGGUGAAGUUCCCAAGUGUGAGUGUCCGUCACUCAGAAAAUGGAGCCCCGCUCGUGAGAUGGUGACUCGAGGUGCUCGGGAGUCCGGCGAGAAGUGUGGCGGGCCCAGCUUGCUGCCACUGCUUUUUGGAUCACCGAGCUCGGUGAAGUUCCCAAGUGUGAGUGUCCGUCACUCAGAAAAUGGAGCCCCGCUCGUGAGAUGGUGACUCGAGGUGCUCGGGAGUCCGGCGAGAAGUGUGGCGGGCCCAGGUUGCUGCCACUGCUUUUUGGAUCACCGAGCUCGGUGAAGUUCCCAAGUGUGAGUGUCCGUCACUCAGAAAAUGGAGCCCCGCUCGUGAGAUGGUGACUCGAGGUGCUCGGGAGUCCGGCGAGAAGUGUGGCGGGCCCAGCUUGCUGCCACUGCUUUUUGGAUCACCGAGCUCGGUGAAGUUCCCAAGUGUGAGUGUCCAUCACUCAGGAAAUGGAGCCCUGCUCGUGAGAUGGUGACUCGAGGUGCUAGGGAGUCCGGUGAGAAGUGUGGCGGGCCCAGGUUGCUGCCACUGCUUUUUGGAUCACCGAGCACGGUGAAGUUGCCAGGCAUGACUGUCCAUCACCCAGGAGACGAAGCCACACCUGUGAGGCGGUGAAUCGAGGUGCAGGGGAGUCUGACGAGAAGUGUGGUGGGCCCAGGUUGCUGCCAGGUCUUUUUGAAUCAACAAGCUCGGUGAAGUUGCCUGAUAUGACUGUCCAUCACCCAAGAGAUGAAGCCCUGCCAGUGAGGCAGUGACUCAAGGUGCAGAGGAGUCCGGUGAGAAGAGUGGUGGGCCCAGGUUGCUGCCACUGCUUUUUGGAUCACUGAGCAUGGUGAAGUUGCCAGGUGUGACUGUCUGUCACCCAGGAGAUGAAGCCCCACCUGUGAGGCAGUGACUCAAGGUGCAGAGGAGUCCGGCGAGAAGUGUGGCAUGCCCAAAUUGCUGCCACUGCUUUUUGGAUCACUGAGCACGGCAAAUUGAGUUGCCCAGGAUGGAAGACCAUUGUCAACAGGGAACCCGUCACACAUUCUGUGAAUCCCAGCCUGGUGAGACAAGGAGCAUGAGCCCCUGGGGGCCAUUGUGCAUGCAGCCCUUGUGUUUACAGAUGGAAUACCCAUGGAGGCCAGGUUGAGUGGCCCAAGACGGAAAACUGUUGGCAACAGGUUACCCAUCGCAUAUUCCAUGAUAGCCAGCCUCUCAAGAUGAAUCUCACGAAUCCCCAGAGGCAACUGGGCAAGUGGCCCUUGAGUGUACAGAUGGAACAACCAUGGCGUUGCCUUGAGUAUGCCAGGAUGGAAGACUGUUUGCAACAGAGAACCCGUCGCGUAUUCCAUGACAACUGUUCUGGCAAGACGAGGCGUGUGAGCCCCCAGGGGCUUCUGGGCAAUUGGUCCUUCAAUGUACAGGUGGAUCACCCAUGGCGAUUGAGUGGCCCAGGAUGGAAGACCAUUGGCAUCAGGCACCCAUCACAUAUUCCAUGACUCCCAGCCUGGAAAGUCGAGGCCUACGAGCUGCCACAGGCCACUGGACACGCGGCCCUUGGUGGUACAGGAGGAACGCCAAUGGCUGUGCAUUUGGAGUAUUAGGAAGGACAACAGUGGCAGAUGUAUGGACCAUCCAACAGUUUUCCUCUCCCAUAAUCGGUUUCCUUUGUGGCGGAACUCCAGAUCCACAAGAGGAGGACAGUUGUAUGUAAAUUUGAAGAGUUUGCAACCCCAUGAACUGUAGCCUGCCAGGCUCCUCUAUCUAUGGGAUUCUCCAGGCAAGAAUACUGGAAUGGGAAGCCAUUCCCUUCUCCAGGGGAUCUUCUUGACUCAGGGAUUGAACUCUUGUCUCCUGCAUUGUAGGCGAAUUCCUUACCAUCUGAGACAGGAAGCCCAACUGAAAACUGGAAGUGAUGUUAGAGAGAAGGGAUAUUUUGCUGCUUGGAAUUCCACUGCCACUCCAAAGAAGUGCUGUUUUCGUCACUUGUACGAGCUCCUUUCUCUGGGAAAAUUCACAGCAAUGCUUUCUAGAGACUGACAUGUUCCAAACACUAGGUUUCCUGUGGAUGAGCUUAUUCCUUCCCCUUGAGAUGAGACAUAAAGAAAAGUGUCAGGAAUAAUUCUGCCUCCAUCCCCAAAGGCCUGUGUGAAUUCUCACAAAGAAGAUGACUUCCUGGGAGCUCUUUUGGUCAUGAACGAUACCAGUAAACCCCUGAAGGAAGACUCUUCAGACAGAGCCCUUUUGCCUCCCUCUUGUCUGAGGGCUGCCUCUGAAGGUGAUGACCACAGAGACAAGGUGGAUUUGUUACUGUAGGUGCCAUUACUUCUGCCACCAGCUUCUCCAAUACAGUGACAGUCUUCUUUGUGCAUGGAAACUCUUCUCUUUCCUGUGUUGCAGUGGAUACCUCCUGCAGAUAAGAAAUGGUUAACUGAGAAAUGCUCAUGUUGGGAUAUCAUCGAUGAGACUUUAAUUUGGGCAUGGUGACUGUUUCCCUUGCUUCCACUUGACUCAAUCCCAGGAGCCUCAGUAGAGGAAAUUAUAUUGCACAAGUGAUGGAAUUGCUCAGUACUCCCAUAAAUAUACAUUUAUAAUUUUCAUUUGCCAUGUAGUAAAUUAAAAAAAUAAGAUCUAUUAAUUUUUUUUUUCAAAAACUCAAAGCAUAUCUAAACAUCUAAUAUAUAAAUUAAGUGCCCUUUUCUCUCCUAUCUCCAAGUUUUCCUCUAUUAAGGGAGUUGUGUGCCUUCUUUAAGCAGAUAGAUGCACACACACAGACACAAGCUAUUUUAGGGGGUUCUGGAAGUAGAGCUAUAUUGUACACAUUAUUCUGCAAAUUUGCUUUCAUUUAACAGUUUUUUCAAUGCCCUUUUUUCUGUUUCAGUAAUACAUAUCUGUGUCAUCUGUUGAAUGACUGCAUGAUUGUUUUGUACAUGAAAUAUAAUCAAAUGUUUCAAACAUUUCUUAUUCAUAGAUAUUUAUGUUAGUGCCAAAAAUUGCUGUGCAGUGAACCUCCCUAUAUAUCAAUAAUUUGCAUUUGUCUAUUAUAUCAUAAUAAAUUACUUAACAGUUAAAA